GACGAACGCUGGCGGCGUGCUUAACACAUGCAAGUCGAACGGAAAGGCCCUGCUUUUGUGGGGUGCUCGAGUGGCGAACGGGUGAGUAAAACGUGAGUAACCUGCCCUUGACUUUGGGAUAACUUCAGGAAACUGGGGCUCAUACCGGAUAGGAGCUCCUGCUGCAUGGUGGGGGUUGGAAAGUUUCGGCGGUUGGGGCUGGACUCGCGGCUUAUCAGCCUGUUGGUGGGGUAGUGGCUUACCAAGGCUUUGAAGGGUAGCCGGCCUGAGAGGGUGACCGGCCACAUUGGUACUGAGGUACGGCCCAGUCUCCUACGGGAGGCAGCAGUGGGGAAUAUUGCGCAAUAGGCGGGAGCCUGAUGCAGCAACGCCGCGUGCGGAAUGACGGCCUUCGAGUUGUAAACCGCUUUCGCCUGUGACGAAGCGUGAGUGACGGUAAUGGGUAAAAAAGCACCGGCUAACUACGUG
rnacentral:rRNA from 1 species